rnacentral:rRNA from 1 species
AUUGAACGCUGGCGGCAUGCCUUACACAUGCAAGUCGAACGGCAGCACGGGAGCAAUCCUGGUGGCGAGUGGCGAACGGGUGAGUAAUAUAUCGGAACGUGCCCAGUCGUGGGGAUAACGUAGCGAAAGCUACGCUAAUACCGCAUACGAUCUAUGGAUGAAAGCGGGGGAUCGCAAGACCUCGCGCGAUUGGAGCGGCCGAUAUCAGAUUAGGUAGUUGGUGAGGUAAAGGCUCACCAAGCCGACGAUCUGUAGCUGGUCUGAGAGGACGACCAGCCACACUGGGACUGAGACACGGCCCAGACUCCUACGGGAGGCAGCAGUGGGGAAUUUUGGACAAUGGGCGCAAGCCUGAUCCAGCAAUGCCGCGUGCAGGAUGAAGGCU